CCUCGUCACGUUGAAACAUCGGUUCCUGUACUAUCACUGAAGUUAAGCAUCGUUGAGCCUGAUCAGUGCUUAGAUGGGUGACUGCUUGGGAAUAUCAGGUGCCGUAA